GCGAGGAUAACGAGGCAACCACUCUUUGAAGCAACGUAGGAGAGACGAUGGACCAAAUCAAUAAAGCUUUGGAGAUAUUCAAAACAAAUGGAGGAUGGCUUGUUUGGACACAAGUCAGUUCUUGGAAGGCUUGUCCAACCUUUUACGCGUUAUCACAGCUACCUCCAGUAUGGAAAACGGGAUAUGCUGAUCUUCUACUUUGAAGGAUAUCUGAGCUGAUUUUUGGAAUAUAAGAGAGGAAUGUCAGCAUAAAAAAAUCUUGGCAGGCAAUGGAAAGAACAUAUUUUCAAGCUGGAUAAACUUGAUAAAUACGCCACCCUGAUGUUGCAUCCGAUAGCAACUUCAGUUCGAAUGUAUCCAAUGAAAAGACAUCCACAAAUUCUUGAAGUCUAGAAGGCCACAUAUGAAGGAAUAUCGAGAGAUUCAAGCCAAUUGAAACGCUUCGGUGCCCAUCUAUACAUUCCCAAACCUUG
rnacentral:sRNA from 1 species